GACGAACGCUGGCGGCGUGCCUAAUACAUGCAAGUCGAACGCAGUGGGGCCGGGUGAGUAACACGUGGGUAACCUCCCAUCAGAGGGGAUAACACUUGGCAACAGGUGCUAAACCGAUAUUGAUGGAUGAUCCCGCGGUGCAUUAGCUAGUUGGUGAGGUAACGGCUCACCAAGGCCACGAUGCAUAGCCGGUCUGAGAGGGUGAUCGGCCACACUGGGACUGAGACACGGCCCAGACUCCUACGGGAGGCAGCAGUAGGGAAUAUUCGGCAAUGGGCGAAAGUCUGACCGAGCAAUGCCGCGUGAGUGAAGAAGGUUUUCGGAGCGUAAAACUCUGUUGGUAGAGAAGCGGUAUCUAACCAGAAAGCAACGGCUAACUACGUGCCAGCAGCCGCGGUAAUAC
rnacentral:rRNA from 1 species